GACACAUGUCCGACUCUUAGAUCU
rnacentral:siRNA from 1 species